rnacentral:rRNA from 2 species
GGACUACCGGGGUUUCUAAUCCCGUUUGCUCCCCUGGCUUUCGCGCCUCAGCGUCAGCAGAGGUCCAGCGCGCCGCUUUCGCCACCGGUGUUCCUUCCGAUAUCUACGCAUUUCACCGCUCCACCGGAAGUUCCGCACGCCCCUACCUCCCUCGAGGCGGCCAGUAUCAAGGGCACUUUUCCGGUUGGGCCGGAAGAUUUCACCCCUGACUCGGCCGCCCGCCUACGCGCCCUUUAAGCCCAGUGAUUCCGAACAACGUUUGCACGGUUCGUCUUACCGCGGCGGCUGGCAC